CUUGCGUCCCAAAGGGUUUUUUUUCCCCCUCUUUUUCUCCUGUAUUCCUCACCGCUCGUUUAGGCUGUCGUCUUUCGCUUCCCCUUUCUCUUUCUUUUCACCACACUUUCACCACUCUCUCUCUCUCUCUCUCUCUCUCUCUCUCUCUCUCUCUCUCUCUCUCUCUCUCUCUCUCGUUUUGGAAUAAAUUAUCUAAAAAUAUCGUGUUUAUUUACGUGAUUUUAUUUUUUUCUCAUGCUUUUCUUGUCCCCAUUUCCUUUCUCUCAGCUUCCAUUUAUUUUUCUUGAAUAAAUUCUAAAGCGUUAAAGCAAGAGAGCAAGAUACCGAGAGAACAAUAUCUGCGUGUAAUGUUCACCACCACGGUCUUGGAGAUCACGUGUUAGACCAAAGCGAGCUAUAUAUGUAUGCACCUCAGGAAAAGCGUAGAGUUCAUGGCAUCCUGAUCAGUGAGUAAGCUUGGGAUUUUUCUUAAACCACUCAUCUCAUCCUGUUUUCCAUGUAGGAGGAGGUCAGGGAGAAUAUAUCUGCUCCCUCUUCAUGAUCGCCUCUCUAUAUGUAUGACUGAGAUUUUUCACACACCUCACCUCGUUCUCUUGUUCAGGGAGAUCAGUAACUGCUCGCUUAUUAAUUAAUUUUCACUGCAACAUACAACAAUUCACAGCACUAGAAACAAUGUAUGAAAUAUCUGUGAGCGUGUACAAGAAACGAGGGGAUUAAAGAGUAUGUUCUGUAAUUUCUACCCAGUAUAAUGUUUGGAGGCGGCUGUCAAACAAGAAGAGAUGUCUCAGUGUGCCAAAUAGCAGUGAAAAAGUUAAGAAUCCUUGGCAUCGGAGUGCAAAGCGAAAAUUGGCUUGUCAGGCGAUAGCUAGGGACGAUACCUCACAUACUACUUACUCAUUCUUUUUCUUUUACUACUUCAUCAUUCCUUUCUCUUUUGUCUUGGUGGUCCUUGUCCUGCUCCUCGUCACUCGCCGCCACCUCUCCCCGUCAGCUUUAUUUAUUGGUGAGUUUCAAGACAUGCAUCCCAAAUUUUCUCUCUCUCUCUCUCUCUCUCUCUCUCUCUCUCUCUCUCUCUCUCUCUCUCUCUCUCUCUCUCUCUCUCUCUCUCUCUCUCUCUCUCUCUCUCUCUCAUUCAUCGUUGCAUGGACGUCUUCAGUUCCUUUUCCGCUCCAGCCAUGUUCGUCCCGUUGUCUGUACUAACAAGUCAAUGGUAAAUAAUGGCAAAUCUAGUCGAGCUCCGUUCGCGUAGCCAUGCGCGUGGAGGCAUCCCCAACACUUCACUCUGCUUCUUUCCACUUUGACCAAGAACGGUCUGAAGUAAUCCACUCCAGUUGACGAGAAUGGUGCCAGCAGGGGGGUUACUCGGUCCUUAGGCAGGUGUGUUUGUCGGUGUAGUUGAGGAGUCCUGUUGUUGUGACAGUUUGGAGGAAUCCAAUAAUUGUGACGUAACAUGCUCCCAUCCUGUUGUGUCAACUGUCAAGUUCUCAUGCACUCUUGUAGAAUGUUUUGUAAUAUGAUCUCUCCGUAUGUUUUUUGUUUUGUUUUUUUCGGAAUCAGAUUCUGAUGAAACUUUUCUCUCACAUUCUUUCUCUCCAUUUUUUUUUCUCCAUUUUCUUUCUCGAUUUUCGUUUUUGCUGAUUAACCUUUUAAAGGUUUGAAGCGAGAGAGCAGGAAACCGAGAGAACAAUAUUUAAUUAAGAAAGGAUAGUUAGUGUACAUGCGUGCCUAUGGGUGGUAUAGUCCUGUAGCAGUCUGAAGGUCAUCCUGUCAUCCACAUCCUCCUUUUUACUGUCCUCCUUUAGGGAUUCUUGCUUCUUGCACGUAAACGUAUUGUCUUCACUUACUUCCUCAUUCUUUCUUCGUCUUGACGGUACCUGUCUUGCUCUCCGUCACACGCCGCCGCCUCGCCACCACGGCUGCUGUUGGUGCUGCCGGCAACUUCAUUGUUACCUGUCGAACUUCAUUGCAGUCCUCGCCGUUGCAUUCCCACAUGCGUCGCUGUCAUGGCACCCUGGCACCCUACAGCCACAACUGCUGCUGCUGUCUUUUAUCCUGUAACAGGCGUGUGAGCGGUGUUGUGAUCGUCGCCUAGAGGUGUCCAUGUUCCGGGAGUCGCUGCCCUUCCAGUCCCCCUCCGCUGUCUGUCUGAGCAACCUGGGUGAAGAGCGGCGGACGCCGCGUUCCAUGUUAAUGUUUGCUGACCAGCCGUCCUCUCUUAUUUUCUCGGUCCUAGCGAGGUGAAGGAGGGACGCUUGCUUCUGCGGCAAACAGAAGCAAUCCACGAGGACGACAGGAAGAAGCCGCCUCCUUUACUAACUAGUAGGGACUGGAGAGGCAAAGAGGACGGGGCUGAUCAGCAAACGGAUGGAGAAACCAAGAGUAUGCCAUCUCGUGUCUCCAACCCAACGGGGUGGUUGUAAGCACCGAGCAGAAUCAGGGAGCCAAGACGCAAGUAUGGGGAUAGCCCGCGAAUGCCCGGCGAUGUCUUUAGUACGAAAACUCUGGGAGGGUGAAGAGGCACGUGGCAUUCAGCGGGUGAGAACUCGCAUGUUGCUGGAAGACAAGUAAGUGUUGCAACUAUGGACAUCUACCACCAGAGCGGUAGCCGGCCAUUACGAAUUACCCACACCAUUUUGAGAUGAAGAACCGGAUCUGCCAAACAACAACAACGAGAUGGCGCAGAAACGCUUGAAGGGACAGACGACGCCUCGCUAGGGAUUCGGAUUUCAGACGACGAUAUGCAGGAGAGAGAGAACACUUGCUGUUAAAGAGCGAUGCCAGCGUCUGAACGUGAAGGACCACGAGGAGUAACCUGGUGCCUGCCUCACCAUCCACUCAUGAACCCAAACAAACCUGAGAAAGUGAAGGCUUUGUUUGCGCAGCGAAGUACAACAACGUUUCCCUCAAAGACUGAGUGAUGCAGGUUCCUGACCUAAAUAGCAAACUGGUGGGUGCCCUUCUGCGUUUCCGAAGUGAACGGAUUGCCGCGAUGGCUGAUGUGAAGGCAAUGUUUCUCAUCAAGCUGGCGUGACCCCUCUUCACCGAGACUCCUUAAGAGAUUCCUUUGGUGGAAAGAUGGGAACCUAAGGAGGGUACGGCGCGCCUACCGAAUGACGGGUAUGUCUUUUCGGGUGUGUAUGGAGUCCCUCCUGUGCUGCUUACGCAUUGCAACGAACUUUGACCGACUGUGAGGAAGAAUAUGGCAUAGCUAGUAGUUACUGAACAUGGAGGGGCUUGUACGUAGACAACUUACUUCUUUCAGUACCCUCCACCGAAAAGGCAUCCAGAUUUACUCGCGAUCUUUGGCUCACAAAGAGAGGAUUUCUGCUAAGUGGGUUAGUAGUAACCAUAAGGAGACAUAGUACAGUACUGUGUCCUACAGAGAGAGACAGGAAUAAGAAUAGAUCUGAGUAAGGACGCACUGGCUACAAAACGGGAUCUGGAAAGGGAUCAGUCAAUCAACUAGCUGUGAGGGGAGUACUGAGGGUGAGCAGCUCCGUUCAUGACCCUCUUGGACUGGUCAGUCCUGUAAUGAUUAAGGCGAAGGCGAUGAUCAAUUAAGGCGAAGGCGAAGAUCUUUCAGGACGAGUGCAGCCGAUAAGGAAGGAUGGAUGACCCCCUCCUAAAUCACCACAGGUCCUAGUUGGUUGGCUUGGCUGGAGGAGUUACCAGGACUGACGGUCUUUCAAGUUCCCCGAUGCUACAGGCGGGAGGACAUGGGAGAUGUUUUAUCACUUACCAACCGCAUCAUUUCAGAUCAAACAGGCUGAGAUGGUGAUAUUAAGAGUUGUUCAAACCACAACGUGCAAAGAGGAGAUGAACAUCCUAAAGUCAAAAGUCAAAGAAAAAAAACUACAGAGGAAACAUUCGAUCUGUCGAGUGGAACCCCUUCAUGGGUGAGGGUGGAUCCAGCCGUCCUCCAUGUGGACGGCUGGACCACGCACCGUUGCCUGCUACAAGUCGGUAUCCCAUUUCCAUGCUCAUACGGAGAGAGAUCAUCAUAUCACAAAAUUGAUUCUACAAGAGUGCAUGAGGACUUUACUUGACAGUUCACGCAGGAUGGGAGCAUGUUACGUCACACUUACUGGAUUCCACACACACCACCUGCCUGAGGACCGAGAGUAACCCCCAUGCUGGCACCAUUCUCGUCAGCUGGAGUGGAUUGCUUCAGACCGUUCUUGGUCAAAGUGGAAAGAAGCAGAGUGAGUGAGUGGGGAUGCCUCCACGUGCAUGACUACACACAUAAGAACAUAAGAAAUAAGGGAAGCUGCAAGAAGUGACCAGGCUUACACGUGGCAGUCCCUGUAUGAAAUAUACCUACCUAUUUUCUAUUUAUUAUCCC